rnacentral:lncRNA from 1 species
UCUGUGUGCUCCAAGAUGACUCAGCCAGCUUUCCCUUCAAGUCAUUUAUGCCUCAAAUCCCAUCCUGAGGGGUCCAGAGGCAGGCACUGAGCUGCUACCACAGAGGCACUGAGCUUCUCCGUGCCGGUAACACCCACUGACGCCAUUUUGUUUUCCCGCCACAGGAGGGCUGCCUCUCAGGCCAGGCCCUCACCCCACAGCCUCCCCAGAUCCGUGUGCGUUGGGGAGAGGGGUUGCAUCUCACCUCACAUACCGUAUAUUCAAAUAUAUAUCAAUGUAUGGGUAUGACAUAGUUGUGAGAGAUUGCUGCCAGGCUCUGGGAUUUGUAUGUGGUUGAUUUCAGAGGCAUUGUCAUCGUGACAGCUGGGGAAGGCUCUGGGGAAGCCAAGCUUGGAGGGGAGAGUUUGGCAGAGGAUCCCGGGUGCCCUGUGAGGGGACUGAAUGCCAUGCAGUGCCACUAGCCACUCCUGAGUUCCCAUUUAAGAAGAGACAUCUCAUCCCAGGAGCUGCAGGGCAAACUCCCUCUCCACACACAGAGGAACAUGAUGUUGCUAGGCAAGGGCAGGACAGAGCAGGAAAAGUGCAAGACCUUAGCCACUUGCUGCAAGAAAAUCCAGAAACACCCCUGUUUUCUUGUACCCUGACUGCCACACUGAGUAUCUUAAAAAGAAGACAAGGCAGAGCAAGUAGUCCAGCCUGACACAUCAUUGGCUUUGUGCUCAACUAAAUGAAGUCAGAAUUCAGACCUCUUAUAGCAGGUAAGAAAAAUAAAUGAUGCCUUCCAUGUUACUGUUGUCAAUCCACUGCUUUCUUCC